AGAUUUUGCUGUGGAAGGCGUAGUCUGGAGUCAUCUGUUGUUGACACCUUCACAGGAUGGAUGGAGGCAUUUCCUACCUCCAGGGAUAGAGCAGAUGUGGUGGCUCAGGUACUCCUUGAACACAUCAUGCCUUGAUUUGGCUAUUUGGUGUGCCACAGACUAUCCAAACGGACAACACCCAGCCUUCACUUCCAGGGUCAUUGAGCUCGUGUCUGAAGCCCUCAACAUCUCCUGGAAACUCCAUAUCCCCCCAAGCUCCUAGGACAUCAGCGCUGGUACUACCUCUCCAGGCUCCAGUGGGCACCUAUCCAAGACCCUGCCCACCUCAGAAAGACCGCAAAUGUCCAGGUUCCUCCCAAAGCUCAAGACUGUGCCUACAAGUACCGCGCAUUGAACCUAGGACCUCGCACCUGCCAGGAUGUGCUCUCCCACCCAGCUACAUCUCCAGCCCCUCUUUCAGGAUAAUUUAUAUUUGAAAUUAUCCAAGCUGGUCUUGGGCUUUGGGCUUCUCCUACCUCAGCCUCAUGAGAAGCUGAGGUGGCAGGCUUGUAGGACCAGGCCCAGCUUCUGUCUCCUUCCAUCUACUUAAAGAACGUGCUCACUAAAAAGCAACUGGUGAUCUUUACUUAAAGCAACUUUCAUGCUGUCUUGCCAGGGAAGGCACCACUGCUGGGGCCCUUCCCAUUUUGUUCAUGAAUGGGGAAGCAUUUUAAGUCAGCUUAUGUGACCAAACCAUGUCAGUGUCACAGGGCCUCUUCAUACACUGGGAUCUGUCUGCCUUUGGACUUGAGUUCAUCUGAGUCUCCAUGCUCUCAGGCCCCACAUCAAGCAUCUCUACAAUAAAGAAUGGGAGGAAAGCACAUGUCUGUGUUUUCACCACCAGUGA